rnacentral:snRNA from 1 species
GUGCUUGCAUGGGCAGCACAUAUACCAAAAUUGGGACCCUAUAGAGAAGAUUAGCAUGGCUCCUGCCCAAGGGUGGUACCCGAAUUUGUGACACAUCCCAUAUUUUG